rnacentral:rRNA from 1 species
ACAAUGCGGGACUGUUAGUCUUGCAAUUGGAUUGAGAACAACGUACAACUCUUAUCGAUAAGCCAUUGGAGGGCAAGUCUGGUGCCAGCAGCCGCGGUAAUUCCAGCUCCAAUAGCGUAUAUUAACGUUGUUGCAGUUAAAAAGCUCGUAGUUGAAGUGAGGGAGUGUGUGGGUAUGAGAGCUAGUCUCAAGUACUUACAACCUCCCCCCUCCAAUCGGUGUAGUGGGGUAUUCAGUUAUUCUACUACUCCUUUGGUCGUUUACUGUGAGAAAAUUAGAGUGUUCAAAGCGGGCGUUUGUUUGAAUAGAUUAGCAUGGAAUAAUGAUUGAAGGCUUUCGUGUUCGAUUUGAUUGGUUUGUUCAUGGAAGCAAGGUUAAAAGGAACAGUUGGGGGUAUUCAUAUUCACUAGUUAGAGGUGAAAUUCUCGGAUUUAUGGAAGAUGAAC